GUUCGCAGCUGCAUAGAAAUGGCCUCAAAGAACAUUAAUUACAGAUUUCCUUGGCAAGGACCUAAGGCACGUUGCCUUUUUAGAGAUGGUGGGCUUGGAGCAUUCCUCACUCUCCCUCCUCUUCCCUUGAGCUUCAGAUAAUGGAAUAAAGUUCCAACCUCACUAGCAUCUCCAGUAGAGGUCUCUUUCAUGGAUUCCCACCAAAUUUAGCCCUUCAGGCCAGGCUUCCCCUGUUAAAGAAAGCCAGAUGGGAAACAUCAACGGAAAAUCUCAUUUUUUAGUAAAGUGAUAAUGUACUGCACUUCCCUUUCAUUCGGUGCUGGAUUAACACCCUUGCCUAGUGAGAGGUAAUGCCUGGUGCCUUAAUGACUCUGAGAGAUUAUUAAUAUGUUAUGGUGUGUUGUACAAAUACCCAGUGGGUUUCCCUUAAUGUGUGAACACUGAGAAUGUGUUAUGCAAAUGGCAAAGGUAGGACUGUCCCAAGAUUUCUGUUUGGGGCAGAUAUGAAACAGCUGCCCUGUUCUACCCAAGGCAUGCCUCUAUAUUUCAUUGCUGAGAUCAAUUCUAACAAUGUAGUUGGUAAAGCAAUUCGGGACUUCUUAUUUUGAAUAGAAAAGGAGUACAGGGCUUGCUUAUAAGAUGAGCUUUCCUAAACAGGAUAAUUUCAUAAUUGACUUCAUUUGUUGGCUACUUUACAGCAGCCUUCUUCAACUUAACACCCUCUUGAUGCUUUGGAAUAUAGUUCCCAUCAACCCUAGCUAGGCUGCUGUGAGUUGUAGUCCAAAAUAUCUGGAGGGUACCAGGUUGCCAAAGGUUGGUUUACAGGAUUAAGACGUUAGUCAAAGAUUUGCCAUGAGUAAAUUUUGUGUAAGAGCUGCUGGAUAAUUAGAGGGCUCUUUGACUUUUCUGCUUCUUUUUGGGGUAAAUGAGACCAGUGCAUAUGGCAGCCAGUUCAUCAUUUGUAGCGGGUGCAGAGGAACAUAGGGUUCAGUAAUGGAAGCUAUGAGGAAAUGAGCCAAAAAAAGUAUAGUUGAUGCCUGGGCAUUCUCUGCUAUCCAUAUCGACAGUCUUCACAGACUGAAUCCACCUCCAACAAACUAAAGCCUACAGACCCAGGGGUGGCUGACACCCAUUGAGACUGGUAGGGCGAAAGUCAGGGAGCCCAACAUUAGGUGGCGCUAGAGCCCAUGACAGGCAGAGCCAACCAAUUCUGGUUUUAUCCCAAUCCUUCCUGCUGAGUUCUACAAGGGCAACACUGAGAUUUAAGAAAGAGACAACUGGCAGGCAGUGCUACCCACCAGAUUAGUUGUAGGUCAGGGCUGGCUGAGGGCAGGCAGGUUGGUGGGGCAGACCCCAAAGCAUUCUUACUAGCUCUAUUACUGACUUAGGAGAAUCUGGUUCUUUGCAUACUUAUGGAGCCCCUGGCUCUGUUCUUUCAGUGAAGCCCAGGUGAGGGAGAACCUUGCACUCAUCUUUAUAGAACCAUUUGCCCAGCUGCGACUGAAGUCACUCUUCCCCUGAUAUCCCACCCCCUGAUGUGGCUAGAGUGGGCUCAGUCUAUGUUAACUGGCAGGCACGGUUGGGGGGCAAGGGAGGAAGGCGGAACAGCAGCAUUUGAUUAAAACUCAGCCCCUCUGGCCUUAGAUCUAAGCAGACACAGCCAGUCCAACCCCCUCUUUUUUUAACAAAUGAUUUUAUUUUAUUACAGAAAGGGCCAGUAUUUAAAAAAAAGAAAGAAAGAAAAAAGCAAGCUCUUGAUUAUGUUUUCUGUUCACCAAGACUUUUCCUGUAUUUGACCUUUGGAUAACCUCCAAGGCUUACAAACAUUUGAAAGGAGUAAAGGAGCUCAUUUUAUUACGGGGCCUCAGCAUACAUUCUUUCCAGCCUAUCUUUAACAUCAGUUGACAAGAAUUAUAUAAUUGCAGUCUGUGAUCCCUUUAAGGCUAAAACAUAUUCGUUUUCCCUCGCAGAACACUUCAGGUUUCCGACUGAGAUGUAUACAUUUUCUCUCCAGCUAGGUCAGUAUGUAAAAAGACGGUGUCUCUUGAAACCGGGCCAUUCCCAUUCUACAGAGAUGCCCCGAUUUAAUCGCCCACCCCCUUUGAAGUCAGAAAGCAGAAGGGACAGCGGCACCCACCCAUCUCGCUUGUGUGUCUUCGUUUCCUGCGACUGUUAUGAGCCACUUCACGCAUGGGGUGCUCCUGCCAUGAGCACCAUGGGAGGGCCUAGUUUUACCACCAAGCUUGUGCCCUUGUUUUUGCGAAGCAGUACUCUAUUUGGAGGCAUGCGGGCGGCGCUAUGGGUUAAACCACAGAGCCUAGGACUUGCCGAUCAGAAGGUCGGCGGUUCGAAUCCCCGCGACGGGGUGAGCUCCCGUUGCUCGGUCCUUGCUCCUGCCAACCUAGCAGUUCGAAAGCAUGCCAAAAAGUGCAAGUAGAUAAUUAGGUACCGCUCCGGCGGGAAGGUAAACGGCGUUUCCAUGCACUGCUCUGGUUCGCCAGAAGAGGCUUAGUUAUGCUGGCCACAUGACCUCGGCCAAUAAAGCGAAAUGAGCGCCGCAACCUCGGAGUCGGCCACGACUGGACCUAAUGGUCAGGGGUCCCUUUACCUUUACUACCCUAUUUGGAUGGUGUCUAUGUAUCCCACAAUAUUUUCUGCAGUGGUGGUGGCUUGGGCUGGUCAUGUGUCAUCUUGGGUUGGUUGUGUCUCAUCUAGGAAUGCUGGUUCACAGGGAAAAAAACCCCCACCUCCAUAUGAAUCUAUUCAUGCAUCUGCUGGUGGCCCCAUAAUAUGAUUCUUAGGCUGUUUACACGUUACCAGCUUCAAACACAGCGAGGUUGUUCCAUGCCCCUCCUCAAACACGGCAUGUCAAAUUGCAUAUGCACAUCAAAAUCCUCCACUGUUUGCCCACAUCAUCAAGUAGAAAAGGGGCAAUAAAGUAUCCAUGGGCUUACAUUUCCAAAUUGGAUUGAAGCUGGUUUAGGGGGAUACACAUCCAAACAUAGUAUUUCUCAAGAAACUACCAGACAAAUGUGGAUUGUGGUUCAUGUCAUGUGUGCACUGCUUCUGAAACUAGUGGUGGGAGGGCACUGGAUGCAGAGUAAAUGGGAAACUCUGCCAGGCUGACAGAGAAAGCACACGUUUUCUCUUCCCCUGCCAAUUUCAUGUGGUUCCUUUUUUAAUAUUUCCAUUUUUAUUGCAUACAUCAAUGAUGCCACAGCAACCCAGUAAUUUCCACAGUACAGUUUUUCUUUACUUCUGUGUCACUCCCCCGUGAACCUGCUCUGCGGUAGUGCAGGCACACUCCUUGCUCCCUUUGCUUCUAUAGGCCUGGGCAUGAGAAUCUGCUUUGCCAGGGGAGCCACCAAGACUUUCCUUUUGUCUUUGGGGAGACUGAAAUAAGAUACUUUAUUGAUUUAGAGAGGUUCUGAAGGACAAUUAGAGCUCUCCAGGCCUAGUAUACCUAGUUCUUGGCUAUAGAAGGAGUCAGAAUAGCGAAAAUCACAUGUUUCAUGGAGCAAACAUAUCACCUCUUCAGGAGACAGUUCCUGGGCUCCUGCAGUAAUUGCUUUCAACCAUCACAUUUUGAUCCAUUCGACACCUAGGCUUGCCAUUGAAUGUACAUAGAUCCAGCAGGGCAUGAAAACCCAUCUCAAAGAUACUCAGGUAAGGCCUAUUUGCUACAGCAUCCAGGUGGAAGCCAAAUGAAGUUAUUCUGCUAUGAUGGCCAUUAUCUCAUAUGAUAUACACUGUUCACCAUGCAGUUAGGCUGUCCUUGCCUACACCAACACAAUCCCCUUCAUUUAUUCCUGGCAUGAAGAAAACUGCGACAGGUGCAUGGCAAAUGACUUAAGAAUAACAGCUUACUACAUGUUUUAAAUAAUAUUUCCUAUAGCAACUCCCAAAUUUGGGCUUGGGCAAUUCAGUUUUUCAGAAUUGGGGAGCAAUUGCACCCUUGUAGUUAAGAGGGCGUAAGAAGUGUGUCGGAUCAGUCGAAAGGAUCAAUGGGUCCAGCAUCUUGUUCUCCCAGCAGCCAACCAGAUGCCUAUGAUUCCUACCCGGCAACUGGUACCCAGAGGCAUACUGCUUUCGACAGUGGCACUGAUGGCUUUAUAUACCCUCUAUGAAUUUGUCUAAUCUUUUAAUGCCAUCCGAGUCGGCACCCAUCGCUACAUCUUGUACAAGUUCAACCAUAGUUUAACUGUCCUACAACCUGGCGCAGAAAGGGUUGGGGGAAGAGGGCUGAAAGUGAUACGAAACAGCUACCAUGAACAGCGGUGAGGACGCAUAGACACCUUUCUUCUAUCCCGCUGCCACAUUUGGUCAAGCAGCUUUUACAGACUUUUAGCGUGCGACACAAAAGUACAAAGCUGGCUUACCAAAUGUGGGCUGAUUGUACAUGCUGUUGGCAACAAUGCCUCUUUCAUAGCACCUUCAACUUUUCAGUCCAUAGCAAGCAAGAUCUAAUGGCGUGUACUGUAUAUACAUGAUGCUAGGGAUUGGUGGCCGGGGAGAGAGGGAGAAAUACCAAUAAGCGAUUACAGUAUGGCUAAAGGGAAGUUCGCUCAGCUCAUUGCUUUCCUCAACAGGGUUAUUUAUUUAUUUAUUUUUGCAGACAGGACACAGCUGUAAUACCCUCUGCUGCUCUAAAAAAGGAAAAUCUCAGGUUUGCUAAGCUCUUCCCCGCUUCCAGUGGUGUCUCUGUAUCAGCCGCACACAUUCUUGUUUCUGUUUCAAACCAGAGACAAGUUUACAAGGCAAGUUUCUCCUCCGCGAUCGCAAGAGGCUUUCUUCCCUCUUUCUCUCUCUGCGAGACAGAGGAUUAGGUCAUCAGUAAUACCAUUUGCUUCUCUCUCUCACUUGCUCUCUUUUGGUUAAUCUCCUCUCCAAGAUGUCCGUGUUACAAGAGAAAUAAAAGGUUUUAAGUGAGCACAUGAUCUCCCUCCCUCCCUCACCUCAGCACUCCAGCAGAGAGGGUGGUUUUAGAAAGAAAUGGCCACAUGGCAAUGCUUUAAAAACAGAAUUUCAGGCGCUUGCGAGACAAAAGGUGGGGGAGGCAGCCGCAGCGGCUUGCUUUGGAGAACACUGCCAUUGUCAGACCAUUGGCCCAUCUAGAACAGGAAAGCCUCCUAUGCAGUGAGUGGCAGCUGCUCUCCAGGAUUUCAGACAGGACCCGGCAUUGAACUUGUGGCCUCAUAAAUGAAAAGCAGACCUACUACCACUAGGCCAUGACCCCUGCUCAUAGCCUGGGUGUGGGGCAAGGUGCAGGAGUGAUUGGCUCCUGCCUGCCACCCACCAUUAAUGAAGGAUAAUGUGUGACGCAUGGAUAGGCAUAGGCCCCCAUCAUACGAUCCCCACACCCCUUUCGAGUGGUGGGAGGUCACUGCUCUUGAGCCUAUGUCUUUGGGCUGUGCCCCACAUAAAGGGGGUGAGAAGGCUUUCCCCAUUCCCUUCCCUUUCUCAUUUCUCUUUGCCCUGCACUCUUCUUUCUUCUGAAUCUUGGUUUGAUGCGGAGAAUUUCUCACAUUAAUUCUAGAGCUGCAACAUGUGCCGUUUGACACUGUGUUCAAGUCCAUCAGUUCACUGGCACACAGCCACAUGCUUCACUACAUUGCCAUUGCAACACAUGUGCAUUGAUAAAACGCAGCAAAAAUAGCUGGGCAAAUAAAGAAGCGGGUUUGAAUAAAUAAUAAACAACUGCAAAGGCAAUCUGGAUGCGAUUAUACGUAGGAAUCUUGGAUUUUUCUCUAAAGUUGUGAGUGGCAAGAGCGGCCGUCCAUUUUCACCUUUAAGUUACUUGACUACGUAUGUUGUUGUCAUUGCAAAAGUUAUGUUGCAGUUAUACUGUUGGAAGAUUGGGACAAAGGCAUGAGAACCGAGGCUGCAGCUCCUAUCACAUUUAUCUGAAUGCAACAGGACUCACUUGGCUAGGGUUGCAAGGAGACUCUUACAUCCCAAGGCUUUGAAGCUGCUGGUUCUCAGAGAGGGGAGGCACCACUGUUGCAGUCAGGGUUUUAGUUUUCUCAGCCAUCACUUGGUUCCGGCACCUCUCAGGUGAGCGCCAUUGCCAUUAUAAGAGAACGAGGGAGGUGUUCAUGGUGAGCAUCUUUUUUCCAGAAAAUCUGGAACCAGGAAAUCUGUGAACCAGGAAGUAGCAUUUGCAUUUGCUUUUACCAUGAACUCAUUUGGCAGCCUUGGCUUCAGUUCCUCUCUGUAGGAUGGCCACAACACUGACUUCCUUGCAGGAGUGUUGUAAGGAUUCCUUAGAUAUUGUAUGUCAGGUGCUUUGAACACUCUAAAAUUACUAUGUACUUGAAGAGUACUUACUGCGACUUAAUUUUGAGAAGGCGUGGCUAAGAUGGUACUGCAAGGCUGCAAUACUAUAGCUACUUACCUAGAAGUGAGCAGCAUUAACACAUGAAUAUCAGGGUGCCAACUUGAAUAAAAUAUUGGGAGGGCCAGGUAAGCCCCGCCCUAUCAACUUCACCAUUUCAGAUGCUCAUGAUUUGAAUGGCAAUGCCCAUCACCUUUGGGGGCCCCUGGCCGCCUCAAAUAUUGGGGUGUGUGUGUCCAGAGUGAGCUCAGCUCCUAUGCAUGCAACUGUAGAUGUUAAACAUUGCUACCACGACUAGUAUUACUACUUCAGAACUCAUAUACACAGAACAAUCCUGUUUAUUUUGUAAGUCACUCCCACUGGAUUCAGGGAGGCUUGUUCCUGGGUUAAGAGACUGGAGGCUCAAUCCAUCCCUGAAAUACCUUAAGGGUUUUAUUUUUUAUGUGGGGGGAGUAAUUAUGCAGCGCUUCUAUCGGGUACAAUCAAUCACUGUUUUAUUUAAAAGGUGUUUAACAACUGAAUGUGAACUAGGAGUGCUGCAGAACGCGAAUACAACAGAGUUAGUGCCCAGUGGGCUUACCGACGAAGAGAGAUAUGUAUAAAAUGUAAAUACCUGGCCCAAGGUCAUGCACAAAGGCAGUAGUAAUAAGGGUGACAAGUAGAUUUUUGGUCUCCCGAUGCUCAACUCUUAACUAGAUACAGGGGCUGCUGCAACUGUAUCUAUGUAUCUCCCUCCAUAUCCACAAAAGAGCCUUUGUAGGGUAUGCUGUGCACACAUUAUUGAUGGUUAUAUCAUAUCAGUGGAAAGAUAAUUGUUGCUGUUCUGUCUGUCUGUGUGUACUGUACAGCUUCAAUUAUCUAUCCAUAAUAGGGAGAGAGGGCAGCACUGGAGAAUUUUAGGUAAUCAACCUCUCCGAAAACGGAGGGGAGUUUUCAAGGCAAUUACGAGGCAUUGUGGGAGGUGGCCCAGUUUUUGAAAGGCAGAGAGUUUUCGCUAACCGGUCAACUGAGUUUCCUAUCAAAAUGUUCAGUACUUGAUUUGGCUUCUUAAUGUUUGUAAAUUAAAAAUACAGAUAAAUAAUCUCUAAAUAAACACACACACACACACACACACAGAGAGAGAGAGAGAGAGAGAGAGAGAGAGAGAGAGAUUGUUCUGCAUUAUAGAAGCAAUAACAUCAGAUUGGGCCUCUCCGCCUUGUCCCCCUGCAUUCAGAGGCAUACUUCCUCCUCUGAUCAUGACAAGAAGCUGCCGAUAGCCAGCUCCUCCAUGAAUGUGUCCAAUCUGCUUUUUUCUCCUGCCCUCAGCCAUUUAGCUUUUAACGAGAAUAAAUAAACAAACAUCCAUUCAAAGCUAGACAACACUGAUAUCAGAAACUUUAUUUCUGCUUCCCUUUUUCUAUUUUUCUAGAAAAAGAGGUGUCAGAACCCACCAUGAACACCUGCCUCGUUCUCACGUGAGAAGUGCCGGAACUGAGUUCUGGUGAGUUCUGGCUGAAUAAAAGCCCUGACUAACAAACUGACCUUUCCAUGCACAUUGCACAGAAUUGUCUAUUCGUGGUGGUCCUGAAUGGCUUUUCACCAACUUCUUGGGAAAUAAAGGUCAAAGCAGGAAUGCUUGAAUUGCUAGUUCUUGCUUGACACAUGCAACGUCCUUGACACAUGCAACCUGACUAGCCUGUCAGGUUUUAACUUGCUGUAUCAUCUGCCAAUGAGUGGCUGAGCAACUGUCUUCUAAAUGGUUCUAUGUAGGCAGAAGUAUCAGGACUGCUGCCUAUCAUUGGGUUAGCUGCAGUGAUGUCACAGAGAGGCAUGUCAGCCUUGCCUUGGCAAAUGAGGUUUAAGGGGGACUUAGGAGGCCAUUCCUAAAGCCAAUCUGUAACUUAAUUUACAUUUGAAUUUUCUCAUCCUAAGUCCCACCAAAGCUAACCAUGCUAAAGUCCCAUUGAUUCCAGAGGAAAAGGAUGAAUCACGCAUUUGAUUCUCUUGCAGAAACAGCUGAGACUAAUAGGGAUUGGCAGGAUUGUGCCACAGCUGAAAGCAACUUACUACAAAUUUUCAAAAAGAAAAACCAAUGAGGAAAGGGAAGGUAGGAGAGGGGAGGGCAGAGAAUAAGUAACUUUAAAAUAUAUAUAUAUAUAUUAAAGGACAUUAGGGAUUUCAAAUGAUGCCUUAUUGUUGUGGGCCGAGUAGCUGAGCAGCCUGUGACUAGGAGGCCAUUGGUCACAGACAGCUGACUUUUCCUUUAUAGGGUGUGAAAGAUUUUUGGCUUUAACAUGUGAUCUGAGUGUCUCUAGGUGUUAAUGAGCACCAUGCCCUGAACCAUACAAGCAAACAAACAUAAGAUCUUCGUGGCUGGCCAAAACAGUUUUAAUUUACAGGGAUAAAUCUCAUUAAGCCAGAUCCAUUACAUUCGACCUUUUUUCUAUUUAUUUGUUGUGAAUUCAAGCAGCUAUCUCAAAUAGCAUGACCAAACUGAAAACACAUUUCACGUUGCCACUCGGGGUCCCCAUCCACGUCUCUGGCUCUCGGGGCCAGCACAUUACAACCCCGAGCAGAAUUGCUAGAAUGUGUGAAAGAGAUGCAGAUGUCCACGGCUGUGAUUCUGGCGUGUGCUUGUGACAAGCCAUCAAGGUUUAUAACAGGGUCAUAAAGGCAAAAGAGUUGAGAACUGUGUCUCCUUAACUUUAUCUACUUUCCGAAAGUAAUGAGGAUCAGAGAGAUUAAAAUGCAGUUAAGGGGUUUGUUUUUAAUUCAGGGUGUCCCCCCUUUCCCUCCAUGAACUUUCUUUACAUCACCAAUGUGGCAAACUUUUGUUUUUGUGGGACAAAAACAACAUCAACAAGCACCCCUCAAUGUUCUUCCAACUCAUAGGAACAAUAGCUAAAAGUAAUUGUGAACAGGAAAGAUGUUCUGGAAGAUGGAGCCAUAUUCCCCGAGCCACCAUCUUCCUCUUGAAAAAUCACAGAAUUGUUGGGCUUCGCCAACUUUUUGCCUCUAUGUAGUAAUUGCUCACUGCCCUUUGGAGCCCAUAUAUAAACUUCUUCCUGCUAGCAGACUUGUCUAUACCACAAAGUAUGCAUGGAGCUUGGCUGCAAGAUGUCCCCUUAUGACUACUUUGCUAGUCCCCUCCCUCCAGUUUGGCCACACCUCUGGUUCUGCAGAGAAAUGCUGGAUCCAUCAGAAGCAGGAAAUGUUUUGAAUUCUGUUAGCGUUUCCCCUCAGCCCAAACAGCAGUUUUAGGCAGGGCUUUUUUCCCCAGCCGGAACUCAGUUCCGACACGUCUCAGGUGGGCACUGUUGCCAUUAUAAGAGAACAAGGGAGGCGUUCAUGGUGAGUUCUGGCACCUCUUUUUCUAGAAAAAUAGCAGUGGAUUAAGGGUUUCUACCAUCAACCUGCCUCAGUCACAGUGAGAGUAAUAUCGCAAACCUUCCAGGAAGGGAUUGAGUGAUGGUGCCUCAAACUAGGGUGAUGGGGAUCAUGCAACUUACUCCCCAUAAAUAAAUUGCAAGCCCGGCUCAAACAAGCUACCAGCCACACGCUCUGCAGUCAUGUGGAUGGACUCUGAAGACAAACGGGGGCGUUUACCUUGCACAAGACACACAGAGAACCCAUGCUGCAUUCAGGUUUUUAAAACUUUUUUAUUUUUUAUUUGCAGCAAGGCCAUUCCAGCAAGCUGCCUGCAGCAAUUCUGCACUGGUAUUCCUGAGCUGUAACUCUUCCCAGCUCUCCUUUUCCUCCCUGCUGCUCUCCUUCGGUUUCAUUGAGCCCUGUAUCUUUCGCCUGGCUUUUGAGCUUCUUUUGCAUGAAUUUCCUUCCCCGCUUCUCAGUUUCCUGGAUAGGCUCUAUCACUUAUCUGGAUCAUUUCAUAGCACAUAAAUAAAGUGGUGAGAUAAAGCACAAAGGGUUCUUGAUAAAGUCCAAGUUUUGUUUAACAGUUAAGAUAGUGAAAGUUUACAAGAGUUGUUCUGGGAGAGAUCUGUGUUGUGAAUAGAGCUAUUAUUGCCAUUAUCACAUUGUUUAGACUGCUGGGCAAAAAACACAGGC